rnacentral:misc_RNA from 1 species
AAAGUCGUAACAAGGUCUCCGUUGGUGAACCAGCGGAGGGAUCAUUACAAGAAGCCGAAAGGCUACUUCAAACCAUCGCGAACUCGUCCAAGUUGCUUCGGCGGCGCGGCAUCCCGUCACCGGGCGCCGCAGCCCGGCCUCUCCGGAGGUGCGGGGCGCCCGCCGGAGGUACGAAACUCUGUAUUAUAGUGGCAUCUCUGAGUAAAAAACAAAUAAGUUAAAACUUUCAACAACGGAUCUCUUGGUUCUG